rnacentral:rRNA from 1 species
UGCUUACACAUGCAAGUCGAGCGGAAAGGCCCUUCGGGGUACUCGAGCGGCGAACGGGUGAGUAACACGUGAGCAACCUGCCCUAGGCUUUGGGAUAACCCCGGGAAACCGGGGCUAAUACCGAAUAGGACCUGGCCUCGCAUGAGGCUGGGUGGAAAGUUUUUCGGCCUGGGAUGGGCUCGCGGCCUAUCAGCUUGUUGGUGGGGUGAUGGCCUACCAAGGCGACGACGGGUAGCCGGCCUGAGAGGGCGACCGGCCACACUGGGACUGAGACACGGCCCAGACUCCUACGGGAGGCAGCAGUGGGGAAUAUUGCACAAUGGGCGGAAGCCUGAUGCAGCGACGCCGCGUGAGGGAUGACGGCCUUCGGGUUGUAAACCUCUUUCAGCAGGGACGAAGCGUAAGUGACGGUACCUGCAGAAGAAGCGCCGGCCAACUACGUGCCAGCAGCCGCGGUAAGACGUAGGGCGCGAGCGUUGUCCGGAUUUAUUGGGCGUAAAGAGCUCGUAGGCGGCUUGUCGCGUCGACUGUGAAAACCCGCAGCUCAACUGCGGGCCUGCAGUCGAUACGGGCAGGCUAGAGUUCGGUAGGGGAGACUGGAAUUCCUGGUGUAGCGGUGAAAUGCGCAGAUAUCAGGAGGAACACCGGUGGCGAAGGCGGGUCUCUGGGCCGAUACUGACGCUGAGGAGCGAAAGCGUGGGGAGCGAACAGGAUUAGAUACCCUGGUAGUCCACGCUGUAAACGUUGGGCGCUAGGUGUGGGGGGCCUCUCCGGUUCCCUGUGCCGCAGCUAACGCAUUAAGCGCCCCGCCUGGGGAGUACGGCCGCAAGGCUAAAACUCAAAGGAAUU